rnacentral:lncRNA from 1 species
UGGUGACCUUCGAGAGGCCUGAUUCUCGAGUCACCGUUCCCAGAUGCCAGACAGACAGGGGGAGCCUCGCCCAGGCCAGUCAGCUGCGGGUGGCACCGGAAUCCAGCCCCUGCCUGCAUCCGCUCCUGGGAGAGAUGACGGGGAAGCAGCUCUGGAGUCCU